rnacentral:rRNA from 1 species
UGGGGAAUUUUGGACAAUGGGCGAAAGCCUGAUCCAGCCAUACCGCGUGAGUGAAGAAGGCCUUCGGGUUGUAAAGCUCUUUCGGACAGAAAGAAAUCCUAUCCGCUAAUACCGGGUGGGGAUGACGGUACUGUAAGAAGAAGCACCGGCUAACUACGUGCCAGCAGCCGCGGUAAUACGUAGGGUGCGAGCGUUAAUCGGAAUUACUGGGCGUAAAGCGUGCGCAGGCGGCAUGAUAAGCCAGAUGUGAAAUCCCCGGGCUCAACCUGGGAACUGCAUUUGGAACUGUCAAGCUAGAGUGUAGCAGAGGGGGGUAGAAUUCCACGUGUAGCAGUGAAAUGCGUAGAGAUGUGGAGGAAUACCGAUGGCGAAGGCAGCCCCCUGGGCUAACACUGACGCU